rnacentral:lncRNA from 1 species
UUUUUUUUGACAGGGUCUCCCUAUGUAGACCAGGCUGGCCUUGAACAUAAAAGGUAUCUAGAAAAAAAAAUCUGCCUGCUUCUGCCUCAUAAAUGCUGGGUUUAGAGACAUGUGCCACUAUACUUGAGCCCAUUUAGCAAGGAUCCUCCCAUGCACAUAUCUGGGUAUCCCUAGAUACUCUAGAUAACUGACCACACUUUUCCUUCUGUAACAUUCCUCAGGUGAUACCUGACCACUCUGGCCUGCCUUUAUUUAGCAAGAGUCUUUCUAGGUUGUUUUAGCUAGAACCCUCUUAAGUUCUGAAGCCACCUGCUUAUUCUUACCCCCCUUUCUCAUUGGUUAAAAAAAUCCUGUUUGCUGUUGCUUGUAAUUAGAGUUAAGCCCAACUUCUUUCCUCUUUUACAGAAUUUCAUUGCAAAGAUCUCUGUGCCUAGGAAGGAGAUUGUCUUGAAUACACUCUGCCUUACCAUGCUUUAACAAGUAUCAUUGAAUAGCUUUUCCUUUAACAGUUAUGGUGGUGUGGCAUGGAUAGGAUCAGAUUCAUCAUUGGACCCCCGGACCUCUCACCCAGGUCUCCCAAAUAUACACGUUUGAAGCCUUUGUCUUCAUUCCUGACUGAUUGAUCGGGGAUCCAAUGGUUAGUCAGACUGGUGAACCAUUGCUCUGGACAGACAUCCAUUGGAGCUGGUGGUAAGGAGAGAUUUUGAUUCUUGAGAUUCUGAGUGCAGUUUCUAAGAUGCGGCAGAGUGCUACACUUCAUGCUGGCUCUGCUGUGGUCUUCCUGGAUCUCUUUUCUGAGUGGGGUUUUUUCCCUUACUCCCUGGUGUAUUCUUUGUCCUCUGUGGAAUCUUUCUUUUUUUCUUGAUUAGGUUCUGUUUUUCCUCUAGGAGUUUCUUUGCCCUUACUGGAAACUCUGGCAAUAAUUUGUUCUGCUAAUUCUAUCCACUUAACUGUCCACUUCCUAAUUAUUGGAAUUUUAUUGUCCUCUUUUGGGGAACUUAUGGUUUCCCUGUACUGGUUCUUCUUAAGAUCACUCCCUUCCGUCCCUUUGAGUCUUUUGAUAAUGUCUCUGAAAAUCCCUCUUUUGCACUUGUCUAUCCACCUCUGUCAGUCCAUAUUCUAUUUUUGCUGCUCCCCUUUCAGGCUACCUAUUAUUGUCCAUUGGAGAUUCUCGAGACUAAUAAACCUCAAAUAGUAAUUGCGUAAGUCUGAAAAGCACAAGUAUUAUUUUAUCUAUAUUCAGAUGGGCUUUGGAGAUACCUAAAUAGCUCCUAUGUGUCUCUGUAACCUCCCUAGGAUUGAUUAUGUGUCCUGGCAAAAUAAUUUUUAAAAUUUUUUAUUCAGCAUAUAUUGAUUAUACAUAAUAGGUUUCAUUCUGACAUUUUCAUGCAUUCAUGUAAUGUAUGUUGAUUAUAUUUAUUCCCUAUUCCCUUGUCCUCUGCGGAAUCUUUCUUUUUUUCUUGAUUAGGUUGUUUUCCUAAGUAGUCCCACUUCUAUUUUUAUGUCUUUUUUUUUUUGUUUGUUUAUUUUUGUGACCCAAUGAGUUUCUUAGGGCUGUUUACAGAAACAUGGGCACCUUAUCUAUGGCUAUAGCAUUGAAGAAAAUGUCUCUCCAUCUCCAAUAACUCUUAACAGUGUAUAAAUCCUCAGAGGGGGCCCAAGCUGAUAGUCUCCUCUACAAAUAUAUGUGUUUCACCUUAUCCUUUAGAAAGUGCUCUGUGCUGAACCUGCAUAGUAUCAAACCUAUACAUGCUAUAAAAUUACCGUUGCAGAAUAAUAGUAUUCACUUGUCCUUCCAUGUCUUGUGACCUGUUACUGCUUCUUAAUCACUUGUGGGUUGGAACUUUAACAAAUUAAAGAAGUUACUUGAACCCAAGCCACUGUAACACUAUAACACUUGAUCUAAUAAUCAGUAUAGCCUUCAAAUCAUUAAUGGGUGAUGAGGAUAUACUAGACAAAAGGAUGAUUUAUAUCCUGAAUGGAACAGCAUAAGGUUUUUUCUCAUUAAUCAAAAUGGCACACAAUUUGCAACUUAGGAAUUGUUUACUUUGAUAUUAUUGACCUCCCAUGAUUGAAACUGCAGGAAGCAAGCUGUGGAUAAGGGAGAUAUACUAAAUUUGUAAAUAAUUAUCUUUCCCUCUUUGUUUUUCAGCAACAGUUUGGAUUAAAACAACAGGGUUUUUUUGUUUGUUUGUUUGUUUUUUGUUGUUUUUUUUACUUAAAACUGCCUUUGGGAGGCAAAAGAGUUUAAGGCCAACCUGAUCUAUAUUGUGAGUUCCAGGCCAACCAGGGUUAUAGAGAGACCCUAUCUCAAAAACAGUAAAUAGAUAAGUAAGUUUAUGUUAGUGUUUUACUGGUUCAAGAUUGAAAUCUUAGACUGAAAGAUGUAAUUUCUGUUUGCAUGUUUAUAUAGUAGUUUGUAUAUGUUAGGUAUGAAUGUUAAAUAUGUUUGUGCAUUAAAAGGCUGGAAUUGACAUGAGGGGUCUUCUCCUGUUUUUUACCUUAGUUUUGAGCUGGGGUCUUCCACUGAUCUUGGAGUUCUGUUUUAGCUAACCUAGCUGGCCAGCUUGCUCUUGGGUAUCUCCCUCCCCCUGCUUCCCCCAGAGCUAGGGUUACAUAUGCAUAUGGCUGCACCUGUGUUUUACCUGGAUCCUGCAGAUUCAGACUCAGAUCCUCAUGCUGUCACAGUAGCCCUGUGAUAUUUGUCUAGCUCUGAAUUAGUGGUUUUCAACCUUUGGGCUACAACCCUUCUGGCAAACCUGUAGCUCCAAAAAUAUUUACAUUGCUGUUCUUAACAUUAGCAAAAUUACAGCUAUGAGGAAGCAACAAAAAUAAUUUUCUGGCUGGGGUCACCACAUCAUGAAGAACUGUGUUAGUUGUAUUGUUAGGGAGGCUGAGAACCACUACUCUAGAUGGUAUUGCCAAAUUAAUUUAUACUUUUUUUUUUAAAGAAUUCUUUUAAAAUUGUCUUAAGAAAAAAAAAAGAAGGAAGGAAGGAGGGAAAGAAAGAAAGGAAGGAGGGAAAGAAAGAAAAGAGUUAGGUGGUUGAUAACACAUACCUUUAAUCCUAGCACUUGGGAGGCACAGGCAAUGAGUUCAAGGCCAGCCUGGUCUACAGAGUAAGUUAAGUUCCAGGACAGUCAGGGCUACACAGAGAAACCCUGUCUCAAAACAAACAAACAAAAAAAAAAAAACAAAAAAGAAGAAGAAAACAAAUAAGGAUAUGAAUAAGCAUAAAACUCUUAGAAACACAACCCAUGUACUUUUCAAAUUCAUAUUACUUGGGUAAACCAUGUGUGAAUAAGAUUAAUCUAAUGUUGGUUUGUUAAAACCAGCUGUAUUUUCAGAAUUGUCAACAUUGUGAUACAAUUUCACUUUAUCUGGGUUUCUACUCAGCUUGUUACCUUCACUAAUGUUUGGACUAUGAAACUAUAAUUCAACCUGUGACCAGAAUGUGCAUUAAAAUUAGUUACUUCAAGUCAGAGUCAAAAAGAAGAAAAAGAAUAGUAUGCUUUUAAUUUUGUAGGGUUUUCUAUGAUACAUUUUUCUUUUCUGAGAGUUACAGGCAGGCCUUGUAGAUGUUGAGCACAUGCUGUGCCACUGUCAGCCUGUGAGUCUUUUCCUUGAGACAGCGUGCAUAGGUCAGCUUUCCUCCUGCUUUAGCCUCUUGAACGAGGAGUGUAUAGUCAUGUACCGUCAUAUUCAGUUUUUAGUGAUAUCUUUAACUCUUACCUCUCUUAACAGAUAAUGAGAACAGAUUUUCUAUAAGAAUUGUAAUCAUAAUUAAUCACAAGUGAGUCAGGCAGAUGUAAGCAGAGUAAGUUUAUGAAUGAACUUUUUAACCAGUCACUGUUUUUAUGUAAUAUGUCUAUGUAAAACAAUUAAGCCAUAUUACUAAGUGAAAUGGUGAAAUUUAUUCAUUGAAUCUGUAGAUAAUUUUAAAGUAUGAUAAAAUUUGAGGCAUUAAUUGUCAGAUAUCUUCAAACUUAUAUUCUUUAGAUGGCUUAAAUUCUAGAGGAAACAAAAUGUAUUUGAGCCUGUUAGUGAGUAUGUCCUGGGCUGUAGAGAAAAAAAAUGUACUGUAGCCAUAUGCUUACAGAAACUUAAAUGGUACAUUAAAUUUGUUAUUUUUAAGAUGCUGGUAUAUGGCAAUUUACUUUUCAUCUUUUUUUCCUUUAAAAUGUCUUAAGUAUUCUUUAAACUUGUAAAAAAUUUUACUGUUUUAUGUAUAUGGGUGUUUUACAUGCAUGCCUGCUGUCCAAGGAAAAGAUGAUAGAAUGUUGUCCUUGGAACUCAAGAUGGUUGUGAACCAUCAUAUGGGUGCUGGAAACUGAGCCUGGGUCCUCUGCAAGAACAAGUACUAACCUCUGAGCAAUUUCUUCAGCCCUAAGUGGGAAGAUUUUUAUAGGUCAGGCUUGGGUGCAGUGAACACAUAAAGUCUAUUCUGCACACAUUCAGUGGUGGGAAUUCUGGGACAUGAAUACUCCCUAACUACAAAGACAGACUAGGAGAUUAAUCUAGUCAUGUGCUCAGAAGGAAAAAAAUUAUGAAGGGGUCUUGGGGGAGAGGCAAGCCAGCCUGGUGUCAGUGGAAGUUAGAAGAGGCUUAGAUCUCUCAGAAUUGGAGUUUCAGAUGAUUGUGAGCAGCCAUGUGAUUGGUGGACUUGAACCUGGGUCCUCCUAAAGAGCAGCAGUGCUCUUAAGUGCUGAGGCAUCUCUCUAGCUCCACAACAAAAGUUACUGUUAAUGUUGUUAGCUAAUCCUAAAAGCCACAGUGCUGUAUACAAGGAGAGAUGAAUAUAUUUUUGGUGUGAAAGGGUAUAAAGUACAAAGAUAUUUCUUAUUGCAUUUAUCUAUCUUGUGUGUGUGUGUGUGUGUGUGUGUGUGUGUGUGUUUGUGUGUGUGUUUGGAUCAGAGGCCAACUUAUGGGUCAGUUUACGGCAUCAAGCAUGCCAGUGGGCACCUUUACCUACUGGGCAUCUCACGUAGGCCCCGAAGGUACAUUUAUAAAUUUGAGGGGAAAGUAAUUUUGUGUUAGUAUGGAGUUGAUGCAAAAUGAAAAUGGAGAACAAAGAACAAAAACUUUGAAUAGGUAUUAGAAAGUUGGGAAGAGUCUCAUGUAGUCAAGCUGGCAAAUUGAAUCAAUUCUAAGAACUUUGAAAACGAGCAUUAAUGUUAAUUGUUCUCCUUUGUACCAUUAAAAUAUACUGUCUUCCAUUAAAAAGGUUUUCUGAGGUCCACCUGUCAUCUCUUGAUUUGUUUUGUUUGUCCCUGACUUUUCCCUUGUUGUCUCUCUUUCUCUCCCGCCUUCAAGAUUGGAUAGAUUGUAGGAUCUUAUAAAUGCUAAGCAUAUUCUCUGGUACUAAGCCAGCCAUACCUCCAGCUUCUCCCCCCAUCCCCCCACCUCCACAAACUAUAAUUGACUAGACCCUGCUUAAGCUUCUGGUUGUCAGCCCUUACCAAGUCCUGUAGUUUGCUCUUGUACCUCUCUCCAGCUUUCUGAGGUGAUGUUUCCAUUUAUCCCCUAGCAUCCUGAUGUGAUGCAUAAUAAAACAGCCUUUCUCAAAGUUCUGUUAGCUAAACACCUCAUGACAUUUCAUGUAUUCAAGUAUUAAAUGGGAAAAUCUGACAGUUGCCAAGAUUUAUUCUAAAGAUACUUUGAGGCCAGCAUCUAAGAAUUUGUAGCUACACUCCCACCCCCUGGACAAGGUUUCUCAAUGUAGCCCUGGAUAUCGUGGAACUUGAUCUGUAGACCAGGCUGGCCUCAAGCUCGGAGCUCUCCUUGUCUCUACCCCCUGAGUGCUGGGAUUAAAGGUGUGUGCCAUCACUGUCCAAAUGUAGCUAAUCUUUUCUAGACUUAAAAAAGCUGAGUUUAAAUUUUGUUUUAGCCACUAAUCCUUGUUUUCCUUCUUCUUUUCACAGAAAUUACCCUCCCCCAUUAAAUAUCUCAAGUGCUUAUACCACCUAGCAAUAUUUUUCCCUCCCUUCUUCCCUCCCUCCCUCCUUAAAAAAGAAAGAAAGAAAGAAAGAAAGAAAGAAAGAAAGAAAGAAAGAAAGAAAGAAAG